rnacentral:rRNA from 1 species
UAAGCGACUAAGCGUACACGGUGGAUGCCCUGGCAGUCAGAGGCGAUGAAGGACGUGCUAAUCUGCGAUAAGCGUCGGUAAGGUGAUAUGAACCGUUAUAACCGGCGAUUUCCGAAUGGGGAAACCCAGUGUGAUUCGUCACACUAUCAUUAACUGAAUCCAUAGGUUAAUGAGGCGAACCGGGGGAACUGAAACAUCUAAGUACCCCGAGGAAAAGAAAUCAACCGAGAUUCCCCCAGUAGCGGCGAGCGAACGGGGAGCAGCCCAGAGCCUGAAUCAGUGUGUGUGUUAGUGGAAGCGUCUGGAAAGGCGCGCGAUACAGGGUGACAGCCCCGUACACAAAAAUGCACAUACUGUGAGCUCGAUGAGUAGGGCGGGACACGUGGUAUCCUGUCUGAAUAUGGGGGGACCAUCCUCCAAGGCUAAAUACUCCUGACUGACCGAUAGUGAACCAGUACCGUGAGGGAAAGGCGAAAAGAACCCCGGCGAGGGGAGUGAAAAAGAACCUGAAACCGUGUACGUACAAGCAGUGGGAGCACGCUUAGGCGUGUGACUGCGUACCUUUUGUAUAAUGGGUCAGCGACUUAUAUUCUGUAGCAAGGUUAACCGAAUAGGGGAGCCGAAGGGAAACCGAGUCUUAACUGGGCGUUAAGUUGCAGGGUAUAGACCCGAAACCCGGUGAUCUAGCCAUGGGCAGGUUGAAGGUUGGGUAACACUAACUGGAGGACCGAACCGACUAAUGUUGAAAAAUUAGCGGAUGACUUGUGGCUGGGGGUGAAAGGCCAAUCAAACCGGGAGAUAGCUGGUUCUCCCCGAAAGCUAUUUAGGUAGCGCCUCGUGAAUUCAUCUCCGGGGGUAGAGCACUGUUUCGGCAAGGGGGUCAUCCCGACUUACCAACCCGAUGCAAACUGCGAAUACCGGAGAAUGUUAUCACGGGAGACACACGGCGGGUGCUAACGUCCGUCGUGAAGAGGGAAACAACCCAGACCGCCAGCUAAGGUCCCAAAGUCAUGGUUAAGUGGGAAACGAUGUGGGAAGGCCCAGACAGCCAGGAUGUUGGCUUAGAAGCAGCCAUCAUUUAAAGAAAGCGUAAUAGCUCACUGGUCGAGUCGGCCUGCGCGGAAGAUGUAACGGGGCUAAACCAUGCACCGAAGCUGCGGCAGCGACACUGUGUGUUGUUGGGUAGGGGAGCGUUCUGUAAGCCUGCGAAGGUGUGCUGUGAGGCAUGCUGGAGGUAUCAGAAGUGCGAAUGCUGACAUAAGUAACGAUAAAGCGGGUGAAAAGCCCGCUCGCCGGAAGACCAAGGGUUCCUGUCCAACGUUAAUCGGGGCAGGGUGAGUCGACCCCUAAGGCGAGGCCGAAAGGCGUAGUCGAUGGGAAACAGGUUAAUAUUCCUGUACUUGGUGUUACUGCGAAGGGGGGACGGAGAAGGCUAUGUUGGCCGGGCGACGGUUGUCCCGGUUUAAGCGUGUAGGCUGGUUUUCCAGGCAAAUCCGGAAAAUCAAGGCUGAGGCGUGAUGACGAGGCACUACGGUGCUGAAGCAACAAAUGCCCUGCUUCCAGGAAAAGCCUCUAAGCAUCAGGUAACAUCAAAUCGUACCCCAAACCGACACAGGUGGUCAGGUAGAGAAUACCAAGGCGCUUGAGAGAACUCGGGUGAAGGAACUAGGCAAAAUGGUGCCGUAACUUCGGGAGAAGGCACGCUGAUAUGUAGGUGAAGUCCCUCGCGGAUGGAGCUGAAAUCAGUCGAAGAUACCAGCUGGCUGCAACUGUUUAUUAAAAACACAGCACUGUGCAAACACGAAAGUGGACGUAUACGGUGUGACGCCUGCCCGGUGCCGGAAGGUUAAUUGAUGGGGUCAGCGCAAGCGAAGCUCUUGAUCGAAGCCCCGGUAAACGGCGGCCGUAACUAUAACGGUCCUAAGGUAGCGAAAUUCCUUGUCGGGUAAGUUCCGACCUGCACGAAUGGCGUAAUGAUGGCCAGGCUGUCUCCACCCGAGACUCAGUGAAAUUGAACUCGCUGUGAAGAUGCAGUGUACCCGCGGCAAGACGGAAAGACCCCGUGAACCUUUACUAUAGCUUGACACUGAACAUUGAGCCUUGAUGUGUAGGAUAGGUGGGAGGCUUUGAAGUGUGGACGCCAGUCUGCAUGGAGCCGGCCUUGAAAUACCACCCUUUAAUGUUUGAUGUUCUAACGUUGACCCGUGAUCCGGGUUGCGGACAGUGUCUGGUGGGUAGUUUGACUGGGGCGGUCUCCUCCUAAAGAGUAACGGAGGAGCACGAAGGUUGGCUAAUCCUGGUCGGACAUCAGGAGGUUAGUGCAAUGGCAUAAGCCAGCUUGACUGCGAGCGUGACGGCGCGAGCAGGUGCGAAAGCAGGUCAUAGUGAUCCGGUGGUUCUGAAUGGAAGGGCCAUCGCUCAACGGAUAAAAGGUACUCCGGGGAUAACAGGCUGAUACCGCCCAAGAGUUCAUAUCGACGGCGGUGUUUGGCACCUCGAUGUCGGCUCAUCACAUCCUGGGGCUGAAGUAGGUCCCAAGGGUAUGGCUGUUCGCCAUUUAAAGUGGUACGCGAGCUGGGUUUAGAACGUCGUGAGACAGUUCGGUCCCUAUCUGCCGUGGGCGCUGGAGAACUGAGGGGGGCUGCUCCUAGUACGAGAGGACCGGAGUGGACGCAUCACUGGUGUUCGGGUUGUCAUGCCAAUGGCACUGCCCGGUAGCUAAAUGCGGAAGAGAUAAGUGCUGAAAGCAUCUAAGCACGAAACUUGCCCCGAGAUGAGUUCUCCCUGACUCCUUGAGAGUCCUGAAGGAACGUUGAAGACGACGACGUUGAUAGGCCGGGUGUGUAAGCGCAGCGAUGCGUUGAGCUAACCGGUACUAAUGAACCGUGAGGCUUAACCU